AUACUUCUAUUAUAAAAAGUAAAUUUAAUUUCCAAUUAAAAAGUCCAAUUAAAUAGGGAAGUAUA
rnacentral:tRNA from 1 species